AGGAUCCAGGAUCCUUUUAACCAUGGACUCCGUAUCUGUGAAUCAAAUUUUG
rnacentral:misc_RNA from 1 species